UCUCUCUGAAUCUGCGUACGGCUCAAUAAAUCAGUGAAAGUUUAUUGAUAGUACCUACUACUUGGAUAACUGUAGCAAUUCUAGAGCUAAUACAUGCAAAAAAUCCCGACUAGGUGCGCUUGGGAGGGAUGUAUUUAUUAGAUGAGAAACCAAUACGGCUUUCGGGCCGGUUCUUGGUGAAUCAUAAUAACUUUGCGGAUCGCAUGGCCCCGUGCCGGCGACGCUUCAUUCAAAUUUCUGCCCUAUCAACUAUCGAUGGUAGGAUAGAGGCCUACCAUGGUUUUAACGGGUAACGGAGAAUUAGGGUUCGAUUCCUGGAGAGUGGGCCUGAGAGAUUGUUAG
rnacentral:rRNA from 1 species